rnacentral:lncRNA from 1 species
UGGGAAUAUCCACGCCCCAGUGCCAAUGUCAGGGUGGGCAUACUCGUUCAGUGUGGAUAAGUGAGAGCUGAAGCAAUAAAGCUUAGCUUUGUCUGAUCGCAAAGCAGUGCAGUCUCCUUUCUGUUGGUUGGAAUGACUGCUUAUGAGAACAGGGAUAUAGAAGCAGAACAGGGUUAAAAUCACCUAGGGCGAGGUCAGAGAACGAGAGAACGGAACGUCAAGCAUUUUGCUUCCUCUGCUGUCUUUGGGCAAUGACCACUUCUGAGCAGAUGAGAGAUGGACGGCCACCACUGCAGCUUGAGAGCCACCUCGACACGCUGCCAUCAGGGCAACGCCCUUCCCUCCCCAGGUGUCAUCCUGCCACACCACGUAAUGGCUGAAGGACCACAGAAAAGCCUGCAAUGUCUUCGCCUGCGAGUGUGUCCUGUGGUCACUGCUGGACAGAGCGGGGUUGCUGAUACGGGGAUGUGUAGGUUCCUCUUCCCCACCCAACCUGCUCUCUAAACAAAGAAAACCAGAGACUCCGAGGUUUCCUUGCUGAAGCUCAUCUCACUAAGGGGCAGAAAGAAAACUUGACUGCUGGUCCACUCCCGAGAGCAACAGCCUGAGACGAGAGGAAGGAGGGGGACGUCUGAGACAGUGGUUCACAGUGGAGAGAACCUCAACACCCGCGUGGAAAAGUCAGGAGUAGGUGUGGCUCUAUGACACAACCAGAGUGAUCUGAGCCACUUGCAGGUGCAUCUACCCACUUUGAAUUUUCUUGUGCAGCUUGGCAUUUGCUCUCAAACUCCCAGCCUCCGAAGUCCCGUG